CUCCCAAACCCAAUGUGAACCAUACCAAACUGUUGCCUCGGCGGGGUCACGCCCCGGGUGCGUCGCAGCCCCGGAACCAGGCGCCCGCCGGAGGGACCAACCAAACUCUUUUCUGUAGUCCCCUCGCGGACGUUAUUUCUUACAGCUCUGAGCAAAAAUUCAAAAUGAAUCAAAACUUUCAACAACGGAUCUCUUGGUUCUGGCAUCGAUGAAGAACGCAGCGAAAUGCGAUAAGUAAUGUGAAUUGCAGAAUUCAGUGAAUCAUCGAAUCUUUGAACGCACAUUGCGCCCGCCAGUAUUCUGGCGGGCAUGCCUGUCCGAGCGUCAUUUCAACCCUCGAACCCCUCCGGGGGGUCGGCGUUGGGGACCUCGGGAGCCCCUAAGACGGGAUCCCGGCCCCGAAAUACAGUGGCGGUCUCGCCGCAGCCUCUCCUGCGCAGUAGUUUGCACAACUCGCACCGGGAGCGCGGCGCGUCCACGUCCGUAAAACACCCAACUUCUGAAAUGUUGACCUCGGAUCAGGUAGGAA
rnacentral:rRNA from 1 species